CGGGCGCAGGCCAGCAGAGGGGCCAGGCUGGGCCGGGCGGGGAAGCGCAGCAAGCCCAAGCCCCUCCCCUCCCAGCUCCGUAAUCAUGGCUUCUGACUCCACCAAGGAGCUUUCUGUGCAAACUUUGCCAGCCUGCGAAGGGAGGAGAGAAGGCUGAGAGCCCAGCCCCCUCAGCACCCUCUACGAAGUUGCUGGGACAAAUAAGUGAAGUGACCCUAAUGGCCGAAG